ACAUGCAGUCGAGCGGACCGACGGGAGCUUGCUCCCUUAGGUCAGCGGCGGACGGGUGAGUAACACGUGGGUAACCUGCCUGUAAGACUGGGAUAACUCCGGGAAACCGGGGCUAAUACCGGAUGCUUGAUUGAACCGCAUGGUUCAAUCAUAAAAGGUGGCUUUUAGCUACCACUUGCAGAUGGACCCGCGGCGCAUUAGCUAGUUGGUGAGGUAACGGCUCACCAAGGCGACGAUGCGUAGCCGACCUGAGAGGGUGAUCGGCCACACUGGGACUGAGACACGGCCCAGACUCCUACGGGAGGCAGCAGUAGGGAAUCUUCCGCAAUGGACGAAAGUCUGACGGAGCAACGCCGCGUGAGUGAUGAAGGUUUUCGGAUCGUAAAACUCUGUUGUUAGGGAAGAACAAGUACCGUUCGAAUAGGGCGGCACCUUGACGGUACCUAACCAGAAAGCCACGGCUAACUACGUGCCAGCAGCCGCGGUAAUACGUAGGUGGCAAGCGUUGUCCGGAAUUAUUGGGCGUAAAGCGCGCGCAGGCGGUUUCUUAAGUCUGAUGUGAAAGCCCCCGGCUCAACCGGGGAGGGUCAUUGGAAACUGGGGAACUUGAGUGCAGAAGAGGAGAGUGGAAUUCCACGUGUAGCGGUGAAAUGCGUAGAGAUGUGGAGGAACACCAGUGGCGAAGGCGACUCUCUGGUCUGUAACUGACGCUGAGGCGCGAAAGCGUGGGGAGCGAACAGGAUUAGAUACCCUGGUAGUCCACGCCGUAAACGAUGAGUGCUAAGUGUUAGAAGGGUUUCCGCCCUUUAGUGCUGCAGCAAACGCAUUAA
rnacentral:rRNA from 1 species